UACGAAGGGGGCUAGCGUUGUUCGGAAUUACUGGGCGUAAAGCGUGCGCAGGCGGCUUCUCAAGUCAGGGGUGAAAGCCCAGAGCUCAACUCUGGAAUUGCCUUUGAGACUGAGUGGCUUGAGUACGAGAGAGGUGAGUGGAAUUCCGAGUGUAGAGGUGAAAUUCGUAGAUAUUCGGAAGAACACCAGUGGCGAAGGCGGCUCACUGGACCGGCAUUGACGCUGAGGUGCGAAAGCGUGGGGAGCAAACAGG
rnacentral:rRNA from 1 species